rnacentral:rRNA from 1 species
UUAAGUGACUAAGCGUACAAGGUGGAUGCCUUGGCAAUCAGAGGCGAUGAAGGACGUGCUAAUCUGCGAAAAGCUUGGAUGAGUCGAUAAGAGGCGUUUAAUCCAAGAUGUCCGAAUGGGGAAACCCAGUAGAUGAAGAAUCUACUAUCACUUACUGAAUCCAUAGGUAAGUGAGGCAAACCGGGAGAACUGAAACAUCUAAGUACCCCGAGGAAAAGAAAUCAACCGAGAUUUCGUUAGUAGCGGCGAGCGAACGCGAAGGAGCCUGUUAGUGAUAAUGACAGAGACAGAGGAACAAGCUGGGAAGCUUGGCGAUACAGGGUGAUAGCCCCGUACUCGAAGUCCAGGUCAUGGUACUAAGCUAACGACAAGUAGGGCGGGACACGUGAUAUCCUGUUUGAAGAUGGGGGGACCAUCCUCCAAGGCUAAAUACUCCUGAUUGACCGAUAGUGAACCAGUACUGUGAAGGAAAGGCGAAAAGAACCCCGGUGAGGGGAGUGAAAUAGAACCUGAAACCUUGUACGUACAAGCAGUGGGAGCCCUUUAAGGGUGACUGCGUACCUUUUGUAUAAUGGGUCAGCGACUUAUAUUUUGUAGCGAGGUUAACCGAAUAGGGGAGCCGAAGGGAAACCGAGUCUUAACUGGGCGUCUAGUUGCAAGGUAUAGACCCGAAACCCGGUGAUCUAGCCAUGGGCAGGUUGAAGGUUGGGUAACACUAACUGGAGGACCGAACCGACUAAUGUUGAAAAAUUAGCGGAUGACUUGUGGCUGGGGGUGAAAGGCCAAUCAAACCGGGAGAUAGCUGGUUCUCCCCGAAAUCUAUUUAGGUAGAGCCUUGAGCGGACACCUUCGGGGGUAGAGCACUGUUUCGGCUAGGGGUCCAUCCCGGAUUACCAACCCGAUGCAAACUACGAAUACCGAAGAGUGAUACUCAGGAGACACACGGCGGGUGCUAACGUCCGUCGUGGAGAGGGAAACAACCCAGACCGCCAGCUAAGGUCCCAAAGUCUAUAUUAAGUGGGAAACGAAGUGGGAAGGCUUAGACAGCUAGGAUGUUGGCUUAGAAGCAGCCAUCAUUUAAAGAAAGCGUAAUAGCUCACUAGUCGAGUCGGCCUGCGCGGAAGAUGUAACGGGGCUCAAAUAUAGCACCGAAGCUGCGGCAUCAGACGAAAGUCUGUUGGGUAGGGGAGCGUUCUGUAAGCGGAUGAAGGUGAAUCGAGAGGUUUGCUGGACGUAUCAGAAGUGCGAAUGCUGACAUAAGUAACGAUAAAACGGGUGAAAAACCCGUUCGCCGGAAGACCAAGGGUUCCUGUCCAACGUUAAUCGGGGCAGGGUGAGUCGGCCCCUAAGGCGAGGCUGAAAAGCGUAGUCGAUGGGAAACGGGUUAAUAUUCCCGUACUUGGAUAAACUGCGAUGUGGGGACGGAGCAGGUUAGGUUAUCGCACUGUUGGAUAUGUGCGUUUAAGUUUGUAGGUGGGAAGUUUAGGCAAAUCCGGACUUCUAUUAAACACUGAGAGAUGAUGACGAGGCUCUACGGAGCUGAAGUAACCGAUACCACACUUCCAGGAAAAGCCACUAAGCUUCAGGUUUAUCUAAACCGUACUGAAAACCGACACAGGUGGUCAGGUAGAGAAUACUCAGGCGCUUGAGAGAACUCGGGUGAAGGAACUAGGCAAAAUAGCACCGUAACUUCGGGAGAAGGUGCGCCGGCGUAGAUUGUAGUCCCUUGCGGGCGAAGGUUGAACCGGUCGAAGAUACCAGCUGGCUGCAACUGUUUAUUAAAAACACAGCACUCUGCAAACACGAAAGUGGACGUAUAGGGUGUGAUGCCUGCCCGGUGCUGGAAGGUUAAUUGAUGGUGUAAUCGAAAGAGAAGCUCCUGAUCGAAGCCCCAGUAAACGGCGGCCGUAACUAUAACGGUCCUAAGGUAGCGAAAUUCCUUGUCGGGUAAGUUCCGAC